rnacentral:ribozyme from 1 species
UGAAAACUUCACCAAUUAGAAAGCAGAGAGCAAGUUUAAAUCUUGGAGCCAUUUUUUUCUUUUUUUUCUGCUUGCUGUACUGCACUUCUAUAUUUUUCUUUCCAAUUUUCAUGUGUGAUUUCUUAAAUUGCAAGAAGCUCGAAGGUUCAGCUUUUGAUAAGGAUACAG